CUAAGCAUAUCAAUAAGCGGAGGAAAAGAAACUAACAAGGAUUCCCAUAGUAACUGCGAGUGAAGCGGGAAAAGCUCAAAUUUAAAAUCUGGCAGUCUUUUGGCUGCCCGAGUUGUAAUCUAGAGAAGUGUUACCCGCGCUGGACCGUGUACAAGUCUCCUGGGAUGGAGCGUCAUAGAGGGUGAGAAUCCCGUCUCUGACACGGACUACCAGGGCUUUUGUGGUAUGCUCUCAAAGAGUCGAGUUGUUUGGGAAUGCAGCUCAAAAUGGGUGGUAAAUUCCAUCUAAAGCUAAAUAUUGGCGAGAGACCGAUAGCGAACAAGUACCGUGAGGGAAAGAUGAAAAGAACUUUGGAAAGAGAGUUAAACAGUACGUGAAAUUGCUGAAAGGGAAACGCUUGAAGUCAGUCGCGUUGGCCAGGGAUCAGCCUCGCACCUGCGUGGUGUAUUUCCUGGUUGAUGGGUCAGCAUCAAUUUUGACCGCUGGAAAAAGUCUUGGGGAAUGUGGCAUCUUUGGAUGUGUUAUAGCCCCUUGUCACAUACGGCGGUUGGGAUUGAGGAACUCAGCAUGCCGCAAGGCCGGGUUGGUUUCAACCACGUUCGUGCUUAGGAUGCUGGCAUAAUGGCUUUAAUCGACCCGUCUUGAAACACGGACCAAGGAGUCUAACAUGCCUGCGAGUGUUUGGGUGGAAAACCCGAGUGCGCAAUGAAAGUGAAAGUUGAGAUCCCUGUCGUGGGGAGCAUCGACGCCCGGACCAGAGCUUUUGGGACGGAUCCGCGGUAGAGCAUGUAUGUUGGGACCCGAAAGAUGGUGAACUAUGCCUGAAUAGGGUGAAGCCAGAGGAAACUCUGGUGGAGGCUCGUAGCGAUUCUGACGUGCAAAUCGAUCGUCAAAUUUGGGUAUAGGGGCGAAAGACUAAUCGAACCAU
rnacentral:rRNA from 1 species